rnacentral:rRNA from 1 species
GAUGAACGCUAGCGGGAGGCUUAAUACAUGCAAGUCGAGGGGUAACAUGAGAGCUUGCUCUUGAUGACGACCGGCGCACGGGUGAGUAACGCGUACACGACCUACCUUUAAGUGAGGGACAGCCUUGGGAAACUGAGAUUAAUACCUCAUGUGAUUGUUUUAUCUAAAAAGGACAAUUAAAGCUCCGGCGCUUAAAGAUGGGUGUGCGUACUAUUAGGUAGUUGGUAGGGUAACGGCCUACCAAGCCGACGAUAGUUAGGGGGCGUGAGAGCGUGACCCCCCACACGGGUACUGAGACACGGACCCGACUCCUACGGGAGGCAGCAGUAAGGAAUAUUGGACAAUGGGCGCAAGCCUGAUCCAGCCAUCCCGCGUGUAGGAUGACUGCCCUAUGGGUUGUAAACUACUUUUGUAAGGGAAGAAACGCCUGGUUUUAACUGGGCCUGACGGUACCUUAAGAAUAAGCACCGGCUAACUCCG